UAAGGAUGCAACUGCUAAAAAAAUAAAAUUUGAGAAAGAGUAAAUAGAAAAUGAAUAUUAUAACCAUUUCCAGGGACAGACACAUGAUUAUAAUUCAUGGGCGGAGCUAUUACAAGGCAAGUAAGGUUAAUUGACGGAUAAAAUUACACUACUAUCUAUAAUAUAAUUUAUUAUAAAUAUAUUUUUGACCUGACAAAAAAAUAAUAAUUUGUCAAAAUUUUAUAAUUUUAACCUCAUUGAACAUAAUUUUUGACAAUUUUGAUACCGCUGAACUUAAUUCCUGACUUUGCACUUGCACUACUAUCCAUAAUAUAAUUUUGACCUAACAAAAAAAUAGUAAUUUGUCAUAACUUUAUAAAUUUUAUAAUUUUAACCUUUACUAAACAUAAUUUCUGAUAAUUUUGAUACCGUUGAAUUUAAGUUCUGACUUUGCACUUGUUCAAAUAUAUAGUCAUGGGCAACAAAUCUUAAAUAAUCAUAAAAUGGUCAAAUUCGAAUCAUACCAUUUGUCUUAUCGUAGUAAUAUACUGGGACGGACCGGGGUAGGCCCCCACAUUUGGGGGAAAAAAUAUUUUUUUAAUAAUAUUUUUUUGUUAUUUUUGAUUAUUUUGUUAUUAAUUAUACAUAAUUGGCCUCCCUAAAUGUUUUUAUCGAAAUAUUCAUUGAAAAUGUAUAAUUUGACUCCCCUAACAAUAAUUUUUAGGUCCGCCACUGGUGAUAUGAAUGAUCGAGUAAGUUCUGGUUCUUAAAAAGUCAAAAAAUCCUAACUUACAAUUCGGAUUACACCCCCAAUAAUCUUCGAGAGGAAAAAUGUACAUGCAAUUCAAAAUUAUAAAUGAACAAAUAAUAAAGGUGGGCAUUAAAAUUUCCAAAAUCAUUGGAGGUUAUGCAUGCAAUUUUAAAACAUUCAUAGUAAGUAAAUAUUACUACUAAAUAAGUGGACUUUUUUUUAUCCUCAAGUACAAAUACCGAACUGUGCUUGAUCAAUUUGAUUUUUUUACAUUGCUGAUUUUACGACGGAGUAUAUAAUAUGAACAUUUUUUAUCAUCAAAAUGAAUCCAAAACGAAACCCAAAAUUAUUUAAACGGGACAUUAUAGACUUCAGAAAUUACAUAUAUAUAAUCUUUUAGUUCCCAUUUCCAACCUGUAGUUUACUUAGUGGAAACCAUUUUUUUAAACGGGACAUUAUGAGUGAAUGUCUCCACUAGUACUUGGGAAAACAAAUAUCUUUUGAAUAAAUAAUGGUAUUGUGGCUUGAUGAGUCAUGGUGGGAACAGUUCCUCUGUAAUUGGAGGGUUUUGAAAUUGUUGAGGUUGGCCAAUUGUAACCAAGAUAAAGCAUGUGAAUGGGUCCCCACAGUUUCCACUCAGUGGUUGCAAAUUCUUAGUUGAAGUGGACUAGGCAAUUUGACUCUAGAAUUUGACCGAUCCACUUUGUGAUUAAUUUGGAAUGGCAAAACCCCCACUUCUCAAUUUGAACUUAUUCAGUGACUAGUGAUCAGUGUAUUAGUAUAAAAUUUGGUGGGGCGUACCUUUCAGGUUAUGACAAAUCGUACUCAGUAUCAAAAGUGUGGAUAUUGUUUUGCUAUCGAUUUACGUGUCCGCGACUUAACGCUACAUGAUUAUGUAGCAUUCACCAAGAGGUGACCACGGAAGGUCAAGCUCUAGACGUCACUUCAAAGGGUAUGUUUUUUUUUUUUUUUUUCACUUUGAAAUUAAUCCAUGUUUUCAAUCCUUUCGCCAUUAGUAUUGGAUACCAUCUUUGCAAUAUUUUUGGCUAUUUCAUUGUUUUUCAUAUUAAUUCAAAGCUUCAUUUUUUUUCCCUUCAGAGUGGAUUUGAAUUUUCUCUCCCUAUUUUUUAAAAAAGAAAUUAAUUGGUAAAUGAUGUUUUAAAUAUCAUGAUAAUUUCAUCAAAUCAAAAAUUUAAUAAACCAAAAGUCCAAUAAUACCCACAAGCAUACAAUGUGCAUGUUUGACAAAGCUUAUUAACAAAAAUUUUUGCUUUUUUCUGUCUUGAAAGUUCUACCAAAAAUAAAUUACAAAAGUGAAAAAUAGCUGACUUUUGAAAGUUCUAUUUUGAAAAUUUUUAAUUUUUAAUUUUAAAUAAGCAAUUUGAAUAUAAGUUUAGUUUUAUCAAAUACUCGUAAUAAGCCUAACAACAAAAUAUCUACAAUUACUAUCCUAAAGAAGAGAGAGAGAGAGAGAGAGAGAGAGGCUUUCACAUAGCGAGGGAAAUCAAAUCGGCAUCAUUGCUGCACAAGAGCUCAAGUUAACUGGAUGAACUGGCUGCUAGAUUUCAACCCCAAAUUUGGGCUUUGAAUGAGCUGGGUUAGGCCUAGGCCCAGGCUGUAUCAUCCAAGACGGUCUAAUAUCUGGCUUGCUUUCCCGGCCCCAAGUUUGGGCUUUGAAUGAGCUGGGUUUGGCCCAGGCCCAGGCUGUAUUAUCCAAGAUGGUCUAAUAUCUGGCUUGCUUUCCCGGCCCAGCCCGAAACAUUUACUUGAAAGAUGUAGAAUAUGUACCUCGAACAUAUGCCUUCAAUCUCGAAAGGGUAAACUACACUUUGUACCCUUGUAGUCUUUAUGAAAUCUUACAUUGCACACUUUAUUUUUAUUUGUGUCAGUCAAUCAUUUUACAUUUUAGGUCAAGUUUUUUUUUUUCCAGUAAGUUAGGGGCUACUCGACCUCUAUCUGUGAGGCCACAUGGCCUGUUUCCAUCACUUUAUUAAAGGGGAAGAGAGUGUAGUUGUUCUCUUGUUUGGUCGAGUAAAAAUAUUUUAUUUAAAGUAUUUUUUUUCCAAAUUAAGUAUUUUUUUCAUUGUAUUUUCGGACUCCUCUUGUCAAGAAAAAAUGAAAAACUCUAAAAUUUUGAUCAAACGGUCAUAAGAAUUUACUAAAGAUAAAAACACUCGAAAACUAAAGCAUCUAUAUGAUCCUCGAAAAAACCAAUCCCAAACAAGGAUUUUAAAUUAACAUGGCAUUUGGUUUUGCGGAUUUUUUCAAAAAUGGUUAUUUUUUGUAUUUUGACAAUGUAACAAGCCACAAAAAUAGUUCUGACAUUUUCAAAAUAACCACAACCUAAGACUACGUUUUAUGCAAAAAUGAUGGGCCGGCUCUUCCACAUUGUGGCACGUGAAAAAAAUGGCCUAAUGCUUUUGGCUUUAAGCUCUUGUAGUUUUGCCAAACAAGUCCCUCUAAUAUGUGGAGCUUAUAGCAAAAGUAAAGCUCAUAAACAACAAGAGCUUCUGUUCUCAACAUUCCUUUCUAUUGGGGGGACUUAGAGGUGUCAAUUGUGCCUAGUAGGCAUGGCACAAAAAAAAUUCGACACGGGCACGGUAUAAAUUGAGCACGACACAACACAGUUUGAGCGGGUACGGAGCAUAGAAAUGGUGAGGCACGACACCGGCACAAUAGUUGGCCUGGCACGAUACGGCACGACAUUGUUAAAGCUUGGCACGGCACGGCACGGGCUUAGUCUAGCAUGACACGGGCACGACACUAAAGUGUGAAGAGCAUGACACGGGUACGAAAAAAGAAGUGGCACGGGCAUGGCAUGCUACUUGGCCUGACUUGAUACGGAAGUGACAAGAAAUGAUUAAUUAUUAAAUAAAAUUUAAUUAAAUAAAUUAACUUGUCAUAAUAAGAAAAAAUAUUUUUUUUUAAUAAAUAAAAUAAAAUAAAUAAAAUUCGACUUGUUCAUAGGUCAUGCCCAUAAAUACAUAAAUAAUAAAAAAAAUAUAUUUUUAUUAAAUAAAUUGACUUUCCAAAUGCAUAAUAAGAAAAAAGUUAAGAAAUAAAAAUAAAAACUUGAUAAUAAAAAUAAAAAAUAAGAAAAAAAUAAAAAUAAAAACUUGAUAAUAAAAUAUAUAUAUUUUAAAAAUUUGACUUGUGGCACAUAAUAGGCUAUACAAAAAAAUAUUUUUUAUAAAAAAAAUUAAAAAUAAUUUUUUUAAUAAAAAUAAUAAUUUUAAUUUUUGAAUUUAUAGGUUAAAGUUAAAUUUUUGUAAUUACAUAAUAAAUAUAAAAAUUUGAUUACAUUAUCCGCUUGCCACACAAUCUCAAUAUAAUUAUGACGAUCUACACCGUUCACUUUGUUUGCCUUACUAUUUUAAUCACUCUUGUCAAAUUUAAAGUCUAUUAGGUAUUAAAAGCCUUUUUAUCUGGAACAUUGAUUCAUUUAUUCAUUAUCAUCCGAUAAUUUAUCUCUUUCGAUUAAGUACGUAAUGAUAAUUAAAUCACUGUAUUUUUUCAUAGAAGAUAUAAUCACUCAUAUUUAAAAUCAUGACGGUUCCGAUUAGAAUUUUUAUACUUUAUUUUUUUUCAAAAGAAAGAAAAAUAAAUCAAAUCAAUUUUUUAGAUGAGGUAUCCAUUUGAAACGAAUUCGGUUUCGGAUCAACCUAAAAUGAUUUACAAAUUACAAAUUCAAAUAAUUUACAAAUUUAAAUACAAAUUAAUUUGGAAGCUGGGCGGAUAAUGUACAAUAGUCAAACGCUCGCAAUACAAUUAUGACGAUUAAAAAAUGUUCACUUUGUUUCUCUUCCUAUUUUAAUCACUCUUGCCAAAUUUAAAAGUUUAUCGGGUAUUGAAAACCCUUUUAUCAAGACGUUGAUUCAUUAAAAAUUAAAAAAUUUAUUUCAUUCGAUCAAAUACGUAUUGAUAAUUAAUUUACUUUAAUUUUUGCAUGGAUGAUAAAAUCACUCCCACGUAGAACAUAAACGGUUCUGAUUCGAAAAAAAAUACUCUAACGACCUCGAAUAAUAUAAUUUUACAGAAAAAUUUGUUAUUUAUCCCAUAUGAUUUUAUUUUAUUUUAGUUUUUUAUACUUUUUUUUUUAAAAGAAAGAAAAAUAAAUCAAAUCAAUUUUUUAUAUGAGGUAUCAAUUUAAAACCAAUUCGGUUUCGGAUCAACCUAAAAUGAUUUACAAAUUUAAAUACAAAUUAAUUUGGAAGAUGGGCGGAUGGCCUUAAUGGCUAUUGUUGUCUCGCUGUCAGCAAACUAGGGAGUA
rnacentral:lncRNA from 1 species